GAAACCCGGUGCCCGCCUGCAAGGUGCUCCCAGUUGAGUGCGGGAGACAGCGAUACACAGGUGAUCAUGGCUCAGGGCGGUUCGUGCUGUGACAGGACGUGCUGGAGCUCACUUCAGGGAAAGCAGCUCCAUCUCGUGGGUAAGGAGCGGAUCCCCAGAGAGAGAGCACAUCUCGACGGAGACCUGUGGGAGACCAGCCAGGCAAGGAGGGAGACUCACACUCCAGCCCCUAAGCAAUCCUGAGGCAGCAGCAGGGACAGUGGCAAAACUGGGGAGCCCAAAACUCUAAGGGAGAGCACGUCUCAAGUUGGAGGAGCUGUGGCCCCAAGAAGGUGGAGAAGAGGCUGGAGUUCAUGGCAGUGGAGGGAUUUGACGACAGCGUGACUGAAUCUUGGGUGCCCCUCCAUGAGGUGAGAGGCCAGAAGCUGAAGGGGGUUCCGUGCAGCGGCGGCGGGACACCAGCACAGACGAGGGGAUGGAAGUCACGUGAUCCAGAGGUGGCACUGGAAGGAUGACUAAGGUCCAACUGUCUGCAUCCCACGUCCAAGUCCAUCUUCGCCGUGACACUGACUGUCUAGCACUGAAGUCACAUACACUCAGGGAAACUUGGCUUCACUAAUUACUACCCUGUGCUUUCUUACUGAGUCUUAGUUUUGUAAAAUUAUGAACAAUGGGAAUUGUACUAUCCACUUCAUGGGAUUGCUAUGAAGAUCAAGCAAAAUUACCCUCCUGAACAUGCUGGCGAGGUGGUAGGUGAGUGUUAUGAGUUGAAUUGAAUCCCCCUAAAAGAUGUGUUGAAGUCCUAACCCUCAGGACCUUGGAAUGUGACCUUAUUUGGAAAUAAGGCUUUUACAGAGGUGAUCAAAUUAAAUGAGGUCAUUAGAAUGGACCCAAAUCCUAUUGGGUCCUAUAUGACUGAUGUCCUCAUAAAAGGGGGAAUUUGGACACAGAGACCGACAUGCAGAGAGGGAAGGCGACAUGAAGAGACACAGGAAGGAGGUCAUGUGAAGACAGAGGAUUGGGGUGAUGCGUCUCCAAGCAGAGGAACACUUGGGGUCCCCAGAAUCUAGGAAGGGCACCGAGUGAUUCUUCCCAGCACCUCUAGAGGGAGCAGGGACCUGCUGACUCCUUGAUUGUGGACUUCUGGCCUCCAGAAGUGUAGGACAAUACAUUUCUGUUGUUCGGAGCCACUCAGUUUGUGGUCUUUGCUACAGCAGCCAACCAGAGCAGAGCACCACUGACAUUAUCUUUCUUUCCUAGACCAUUCAUGCAACAAAUAUUUUAAGCCAAGUCCUGGAAUUUGCUUAGAGUUCUAAUGGCAGAAAUGCAGCUUGUCCUGGUCCUUGGGAAUGAACCACCAGGGCUGACAGCUGAGCAACCAAAGCUGAGACGGCGCCAGCCGUGGGCGCCGGGACCGCUAAAGUCCCACCCAUCCUGACAGCUCACGUGCUCCGUCCACCAUGAAGCCAACCCGUGUGUCAUCCCCACCAAACCCACGUUUGUUCAUCCUCCUCUUCUGUGACUUACCACAGGCUCCCCAUCCUAGGAGACCUUCAGUACUUUCCUUCCUCCCUUUUCCUGAACUCCUGUUUGCUGCUUGGCUUGACACCGUCUGCAAGCCCUCACCACACGGUGCUCCUCACUCUGUAGUCUCCAGCCAGCCAGCCAAGGCAGCGUCAGAUGGUGAGAGGCUGGGGUGGAGUCAGGCAGCUUCGAAUCCUCGCUGCUGAACCCGUGAGCCUGGGGAAGUGGGGGCUGACUUCCUUACCUGGGAACCGUGGGCUGGUACUGAGAUGAAGUACUGAGGUGCAGGUGAGAAACCUAGCCUAGAAAAUGCUGAGAUAAUUGUGAGCUUUUAAACAACUGCUAUUACUAUUUUUCUUGUUCUGCCUUCCCAGUUGUCUUUCUAUAUCACAUAUUUUUAAUCGUUUUAGUCCACCUUUCUGUGGAAACCUUGCUGUGUCCCUUUGAUCACAUCAGUAACAUCCUCUGGCCCCCUCUCAAAUUUUCUUCCACCAUUUCUGAUUAGAAGAAGAGGAAGAGAAACCAGAAUAAAUAAUAGAUGGAACAGGCUUGCGUGGCAAGGAUCUUUUCUUUCCUUCCAUCCUUGGUUGGGUUUUGGAGAAUCCAUGAAAAUAUUAGUUGGAGGAAGAAAUUAUUCUUUUAAGCUGAAAUAACAUCGAUGCACACGUUCUUUUCCUCGGGAGUGAGGAGACUAAGAUCCUGGAGGAAAGAAUCUGGUUUUGUCACGCAAAGGAAAGCCGGGUUAGAGGAGAAAAGAAAAUCAGGCUGGUGCAUUCGAAGGCAGCUGAAGGCUUCAGUUCCAAUGGAACAACUGAAGUUAUUUACAAACUAGAUGGCAAAGAGCGCUUUCCCAGCUCCUCGGGGCCCCUGCUUGCCAGAUGGAGGGCCCAGGAAACUAGACGGGGAAUUUGUCUGAGAAGGGCGACUGAGAAAGCUGCAGCUGAUUCAAACUGAACUGCUGGGAUAACAAGCUUUUUCUCCCCAGCGAGUCCAGGUUAAAAUCAGGAUGUGGCUUCUUCUCUCACUAGCUAU